AGCAGUAUUGAACUGAAGAGUUUGAUCAUGGCUCAGAUUGAACGCUGGCGGCAGGCCUAACACAUGCAAGUCGAGCGGAUGAAGGGAGCUUGCUCCUGGAUUCAGCGGCGGACGGGUGAGUAAUGCCUAGGAAUCUGCCUGGUAGUGGGGGAUAACGUCCGGAAACGGGCGCUAAUACCGCAUACGUCCUGAGGGAG
rnacentral:rRNA from 1 species